rnacentral:misc_RNA from 1 species
AAAUCAAACCAAAAUGACUUAGGCAAUUUUGGUGAUAGGGAGCUCAAUUUUAAGUCCAAUUCAGCGUGUAGCUCUGCCAAUUUGAUGGACACUCGUGGGCUUGUAAUUCUCAACAUUUCUAAACAGUGACUAUGCAAUUGAUAUUAAUUACUUGUGUGUGUUGACUGUUGUCCCACAUCGACCUGGUAUAAGGCAAGAGUGCUUAAUAUAAAGGUUUGGGCUAUCCUCCCCCUCGAGCUAGCUUUGGGGUUGAGUUAGGUGCGGUCCAUUUUCUCUACAUGGAAUUAGAGCCAACCCUUGUCUCAUUGUU